UACGGGGGGAGCAAGCGUUGUUCGGAUUUACUGGGCGUAAAGAGCGUGUAGGCGGCCAGGUAGGUCGGUUGUGAAAACUGGAGGCUUAACCUCCAGACGUCGACCGAAACCAUCUGGCUAGAGUCCGGAAGAGGAGAGUGGAAUUCCUGGUGUAGCGGUGAAAUGCGCAGAUAUCAGGAAGAACACCCGUGGCGAAGGCGGCUCUCUGGGACGGUACUGACGCUGAGACGCGAAAGCGUGGGGAGCGAACAGG
rnacentral:rRNA from 1 species